CACUCCUGCGGGAGGCAGCAGUGGGAAAUAUUAGACAAUGGGCGCAAGCCUGAUCCAGCCAUGCCGCGUGAGUGAUGAAGGCCCUAGGGUUGUAAAGCUCUUUCACCGGUGAAGAUAAUGACGGUAACCGGAGAAGAAGCCCCGGCUAACUUCGUGCCAGCAGCCGCGGUAAUACGAAGGGGGCUAGCGUUGUUCGGAUUUACUGGGCGUAAAGCGCACGUAGGCGGACUAUUAAGUCAGGGGUGAAAUCCCGGGGCUCAACCCCGGAACUGCCUUUGAUACUGGUAGUCUUGAGUUCAAGAGAGGUGAGUGGAAUUCCGAGUGUAGAGGUGAAAUUCGUAGAUAUUCGGAGGAACACCAGUGGCGAAGGCGGCUCACUGGCUCGAUACUGACGCUGAGGUGCGAAAGCGUGGGGAGCAAACAGGAUUAGAAACCCCUGUAGUCCCAUG
rnacentral:rRNA from 1 species